CAUAUAAUCUUGCGUAUUGCACAUGUGUACAUAUUUACACGCCACGUUACAUAUGUCUAUAUUCAUAAGCGCAUAUAUGUCAUAUACAAUGUGCACUGUACAUUAUAUUUAUAAUAUACACAUUUGCUCAAGUCUUGCGCACCAUCUAUCGGAAGAAGAUGGUACAGUAUUUCAUUAGAAUUGUUUCGCCCCUCUAUUCAGCUUUUGUGAAUUUCAUCGGCAGAGUCGAAUGUGAUUUGAAGAUGGCGAUACAGGAGUAGGGUUGAGCGGACGCUUCGUAAGGAAGCCUCUUAUUUAGCAGUAAUAGCUGAAAUUUCGAUCGCCGUUGUGUCUGACUGGGAAGUUCAAUGCGGAGCACAAGCAUGUGUCACGUCGCGGUCAAACGAGAGCAUGAGUUCUCUAGCGACCGUCUGUAUGCGAACAGGAAUAUUUAUGAGCAUAUGAUACACAUGAUCAUAUCAAUUUGUAUUUGUGUACUCGCGCGAGAUCAUAAAGCUGAUUCAAACCAGAGACACGAAAAUGGGCAAGAACUUGAGGCGUAACGGUAUCAUCGAUUCAUCUCACUUUUAAUCUAAUGGUGGCGGGUUCUUUGCUUUUCGUGCUAAUGAGGGGAACAAUUCAAAAGGGGAGAGGCCUAAAACUACUAACACAAUUUACUAAUUGAGAUGGAGAUGGAUUAUCUUUGUACAUAUGUGUAUAUAUACAUGAUAUAUAUAUAUCUGCAAUUGCCAAGUAAAAAAGAGAGCAAGCGAUUAUGGAAUACCAAAUGACCAAGCAGUACUCUCGUUUGCGUAAGGUUAAUACGCACGCGAUCUAGUCAAGAAAAGAAGACUUAAGCUUACUCCUUAAAGAAGAAAUUAUAACGUUUCGUCAUAUAGAAGAAGACGAUGCAAUCAAUCCAGAACAUGCGAGCUUAACUGUAGAAGAAACAUAAUAACAGGCUUGAAUUGCGAAUGUUGUUCCAAUCGUACCUUCAAAGUAUUGCAAACAAAGACCGUAUUUCUGGAAAACCGAGGAUCGUGCAUCGGAUAUCGCAAAUGAAUAACAACACACAGGUAACUCCAUCGUAAUGAAAUAUCAAUAAACUACCGAUUCCGCUAGAAUUUUAUUACCAAAGGGAAUAUGUUACCAAAGAAACCAUUAAUCGAGCACUUGAAAAGCAUCGGUGAUGGUACGCGCGUAAACGCAUAAGUAUAUGGUUUAAUCUUAUAGUAAUGUGUCUUGCUACAUAUAUAUAUAUAUAUAUAUAUAUAUAUAGCUAUGUUAUUAACAGCAGUAAUACCAAAUUGGUCUCUGCUGAAAGAUAAAGAAUAGAUGACCAACUUGAGGGGGAGUUGGUUAUGAUCGAUUACAUAAUGAAGAAUGUACUGCAUGUUAAUAAUUUUUAUGCAAAGGUAAUGUACUAUAACUGAGUAACAAAUCUCGAAGUAAAAGUGACACUCGCCACCAUGAAAAGGAGUUAUUAACCCAUGGAAAAUUACGAUGCCUUUAUCGACUUACUUUCGUUCGUUGGUGUCAGCAUUUCGUAAUUUAAUACCAAAAGAAAAAGAGAAAGAUACGAAUUUUCUAAUUAUAAUUUUAAAGAUUUAUAUUUCGUGACAAACGAUAGAUUUGAGUGUAAAAAAAGAACAAUCUCUUUUGUUCAUAUGGAAUGCGGUCAAUACGGUUGAUUUGAUGUAUGUUAUCAUCGAACGAACAAUCGAAAACGAAAGACUAAGUGAGAAAGGGAGGGAGGGAGGGAGGGAGGGAGGGAGAGAGAGAGAGAGAGAGAAGGGAAGGGAGGUGAAUCUAUCAUAUACCGCGAGCGAGUAGGUAAAUGAAAGGGUGGGGUUUAGAACAAUUAGUAUAUCAUGAUGGAGAAGGCGAGGGGUAGAAGAGGCAUAAAAGAGGCAGAAGAGAUAUAAAG